GACGAACGCUGGCGGCGUGCUUAACACAUGCAAGUCGAACGCUGAAGCUUGGUGCUUGCACUGGGUGGAUGAGUGGCGAACGGGUGAGUAAUACGUGAGUAACCUGCCCUUGACUCUGGGAUAAGCCUGGGAAACUGGGUCUAAUACUGGAUACGACAUGUCACCGCAUGGUGGUGUGUGGAAAGGGUUUUACUGGUUUUGGAUGGGCUCACGGCCUAUCAGCUUGUUGGUGGGGUAAUGGCUCACCAAGGCGACGGCGGGUAGCCGGCCUGAGAGGGUGACCGGCCACACUGGGACUGAGACACGGCCCAGACUCCUACGGGAGGCAGCAGUGGGGAAUAUUGCACAAUGGGCGGAAGCCUGAUGCAGCUACGCCGCGUGAGGGAUGACGGCCUUCGGGUUGUAAACCUCUUUCAGCACGGAAGAAGCGAAAGUGACGGUACGUGCAGAAGAAGCGCCGGCUAACUACGUG
rnacentral:rRNA from 1 species